CGCGUAUGAUAAAGAAGAUCGAGUGCUGGCAUCCGCGCUGUACUCGUGUUACCUGAUGUCAAAGGAGCUGGGUGAACAAGUUGAAACUUGUAGCUUAAAUAAGUAUGAACAGUUACUCGUGGAGAAAGACGUAGACACCGUUGACGGUUAAAAAUCAUCAUCAUAAUUUCGAAGGUGUAGCACUAAAAGCGAUGCCUGCUAAGUACUUUGAACAUGUCGAAUAAUUUAACAAACGUUAACGAAGAUGAUUUAUUCUACCCUUACGCGCAAG